GAUGAACGCUGGCGGCGUGCCUAAUACAUGCAAGUCGAGCGAACUUUUGGGAGCUUGCUCCCAAAAGUUAGCGGCGGACGGGUGAGUAACACGUGGGUAACCUGCCUGUAAGACUGGGAUAACUUCGGGAAACCGGAGCUAAUACCGGAUAACAUUGAAGCCCACAUGGCCUUCAAUUAAAAGGUGGCUUUUAGCUACCACUUACAGAUGGACCCGCGGCGCAUUAGCUAGUUGGUGAGGUAACGGCUCACCAAGGCGACGAUGCGUAGCCGACCUGAGAGGGUGAUCGGCAACACUGGGACUGAGACACGGCCCAGACUCCUACGGGAGGCAGCAGUAGGGAAUCUUCCGCAAUGGACGAAAGUCUGACGGAGCAACGCCGCGUGAGCGAAGAAGGCCUUCGGGUCGUAAAGCUCUGUUGUUAGGGAAGAACAAGUAUCGUUCGAAUAGGGCGGUACCUUGACGGUACCUAACCAGAAAGCCACGGCUAACUACGUG
rnacentral:rRNA from 1 species